AGCGUCGCCUCCGUUUGCCAGUAGUGCGGGGGAACGUCACCACCGAGGUCCGGAUGCUUAAAGUUUUUGUCGAACGCAGGUUUACUGGUUCAGCUGCUGCAGCCUGGACACAAACACCAGCUCCCACCUUAAAAAGCAAACAGAGGCCUGGACUACGAAGGGAGUUUAAGCCACUCUGAUUUAACUCGGGUUAUCAAGGAACGUCGGGGUUGACAGACGUCGGCUGCCUCGAUCUGCGUUAACUACAGCGAUGGUUAAGAUGUCAAGAGAAGAGACCGACAUGAAGAUGUUUCCAGAAGUCUGGCAUUCCAUCCAUCCGGAGACCAACUCCAACCGCCAAACUACCAAACAACUGGUUCUGCUGAUAUGUCGACUACAGGAGAGGGUAUGGAAAUGACAAUGGAUGUGGCAGCGGAGAGUUUAAAACGGUGCCAUUCAUAUGCCAAACAACAACUUGCGGAUUUUGAUGACUCUCCAAGCGCGAGCCCAUAGAAAAAAAUCAGCCCGCUGUGAGCCGGAGCCCUCCAACGCUGUCCUGCUGGCGGCUAUUAACAAGCUCAUUGAGACGCAGCUCAGUUUCAGGGAGAAACUGGAAUCCAUAGAGAAGUCCAUUGAGAAUAAUGUCAAGAGGAUAGAGAGUUGGCAUCCAGAGUGGAUCCCCUGGAGCUCCAGAUUAAAGCCCUGACCGCUGAAAAUAAGAAGCUGAUGGACAGAGUGAACGACAUGGAUGCAUACUUCAGCAUCCACCACGCCGCACUAUAGUCCGCUUUUCACACCGGGCACACCGUGACCAAGUCUGGGCGGACGCUAAAACCUCUCAGGUCCUCAAGCAGAAGAACGUGAAGAUAUCGGAGGACUUAACUCAGCAGGUGAGGGAUGCAAGAGCGAAGCUGUGGCCGCUGGUAGAAGAGGCGAGGAGGCCUUUUUGCUAUCACUGCUGGUAAGAAGAUAUCUGCAGAGGACUUGACAUGAAGUAUUGUCCUGAGUAGGUAGACUCAUCUAAUUGUGGAAAAUUUGAUUUUGAUGUAGCCUUUGGCAGCUGAGAGGAUAGCUCCUGUCCUGAACUUGUUGGGAUACUUGUUCCAUGGGUCAGUUUCUAAUAUGUUUACUCAAUGUAAAGUUUUUGGUUUGUGAAUUCAAGUUUUGAACAUUUCUCAACUUCUUGUAUUCUGUAACUACUACUAAUACUGUUUAAGUAGUUUUUGUUAUUCUGUGUUUUGUGUACACACGUUUGAUAUUCAUUUAUCAUGUUUUUCUCUAAAUGUAUGAGAUUUAACUAAAAGAAAAGCUUUAUUUUUAUUUUGUAGUCAUCAAAAUAAGGAUGUCUAUUUUUUUCAGGAGACUCAUUCCACUUCAAAAGAUGAAGCAUUUUGGCGCAAUCAGUGGGGAAGGAAAGUUAUUUUUUCUCAUGGUACUAAUUUCUCAGGAGGUGUUUUAGUUUUACUCCAUGUUAAAUUUAAUGGUGAGAUCAUAUAUACAGAGGUUUCAGAUGGAUUCUGUUAGUAAUUCAAUGUGGAGAUAAUAUAUUUAUUUUGGUAAUGCUGGGAAUUCUAACAUCACACUCCUUAAGUUUUUGUCUGACAAAAUUCUCCAAGAAAUGAACAAAUUUUCCUCAGCAUCUGUGAUUGUUGGCGGUGACUUUAAUGAGGCUCCAAACUUAUGUACAGAUAGAGGUAAUCAAGAUCAUUUUAACCCUGUUUAUAUUUGAUUUAACUGAUCAUGCUGGAAUAGAUAUUUCUUUAUCAAAUUUAAGUUCUGCUCACCGCAACAAACCUGGAUACUGGAAGUUAAAAUCUUCCUUUCUACAACAAUCAGCUUAUUGUUUGGGUAUUAAACAAAUUAUCACUAAAUUCAACUCAAUGUCUGAAAUUACACCUACGCUAAAAUGGGAGCUACUCAAAUUUAAAUGUCAAAGUUUUUCAAUAUGUUUUGGAAAGCAGCAAUUAAGAGAUCAAAAUAAGGCUUAUGCUAAUAAUUUAAAAGAGUUGAAUGAUUUAUUAAAUAUACCUGUUCCAAGUAAUGAAGAUAAAGUGCGUUUGCACUCAUUAAGGGAAAAAUUAGACCUUUUAUUCCAGACAAAAGCAAGAGGAGCAUUCAUAAGGUCUCGGGCCAGAUGGUUGGAACGUGGAGAAAAGAACUCCUCCUCCUUUUUUAAUUUGGAGAAAAAACGUGGUGAGGCCAGAAAAAUAUCUGCCUUAUAUAUCGAUAACAGUCUCUUUGAAAAUGAUAAAGAAAUCUCUUCUUUUAUCUCUUAACUUUUAUCAAAAGUUAUACUCUUCCUCAUUUAACCCUCAGGCUUGUAGUGUCUUUUUUGAUAAAGUAUCCCCAUUCAUUCCUAAAACUUCCAGGGAGAAUUACGAGCUUUGUGAAAGUCCAAUUACACUAGAAGAAUCGAAGAAGACUAUUACAAAAAUGCCAGCUAAUAAAAGUCCUGGUCCAGAUGGAUUGCCUUAUGAAUUUUAUGUAACUUUUUGGGAUGAUUUAAUAAAACAUUUGUUGUGGGGAGUGUUUGUGGAUUGUGCCAGAAAUAAGGAACUGACUGUUUCUAUGAAGCAAGGUUUAAUAUCACUAAUCCCUAAACCUGGUAAAGAUCUUCUUUAUCUGGAUAAUUGGCGUCCUAUAACGUUGCUAAAUUCAGACUACAAAAUCCUUGCAGCACUGUACGCCAAUAGAUAAAAAUUUUGCUUAGAGGAAAUUAUUUCUGUAACACAGUCAGGUUUUAUGAAAGGUCGGCACAUUGCUAAUAAUAUUCGGCUUGUCCUAGACAUUUUAGAUUAUAGAGACCUGUUUGAUCAAAAGUCACUGAUUUAGUUUUUGGACUUUUACAAAGCUUUUGAUACUCUGGAACACUCGUUUAUUUUUGAGGCUUUGCAAUAUUUUGGGUUCAAAGAAAACUUCAGGAACAUCAUAAGUACACUCUAUACCAAUAUUAAUAGCUGUGUAUCCCUGGCACAUGGUACUUCUCCUCGCUUUCAUAUAAACCGUGGGAUAAGACCAAGGGUGUCCAAUUUCACCUUUCUUAUUUUUGGUAGCUGCUGAACUUCUUAAUCUGUUCAUUGUUAACUGUGUGAAUAUAGAGGGUAUUAAGAUAGGUGACAAUGUUCUAACCAUUAGUCAGCUGGCUGAUGACACCUGUCUGUUUCUCCAAAAUGAACUUCAAGUCCCUGGGUAUCACAAUAAGCAAAUCUAUUAGUGAGAGGAUCUCUCAAAACGUUCUGCCAAAAAUUGAAAAGUCUAAAUCUAUCUUUAACUGCUGGUUACAGAGAGACCUUACUAUUAUAGGUCGAAUUUUACUUUCUAAGGCAGAAGGUUUAUCUAGAUUAGCGUACCCAGCUUUAUCUUUAUAUGUAGAUCGCAAAACCUGUGCAGCUAUUGAUUCACUCUUAUUUACAUUUAUUUGGAAACACAAAAAUGAGAAUAUAAAGAGGAAGACAAUUAUCAGACAAUAUUCAGAGGGUGGUGUUAAUGUGUUAGACUUCCAAACUAUCAACAGUAUAUUCAAACUCAACUGGAUAAAACAUUGUCUAGCACAUACUAAUGCGCCAUGGUUUUUUAUUCCCAAUUUUUUGUUUAAUAAAUGUGGUGGUUAAUUUACUUUACCUCAAGUGAAUUGCCUGUUAAGCUUGCCAACUUCCAUAAGCAAGCCCUGGACACAUGGGAAAUUGCUUUCAAACACAACUUUUCUCCUCACACAUGUAUCUUAUGGAAUAAUCAACAUAUUGUUUACAAGAAUAAGAUCUUAUUUUUUAAAGAUUGGUACGAUCAGGGGGUUAUGUUUGUUUUUGAUCUUGUGAAUGAUAAGGGGGACCUAGGUGCAUAUGAAGAAUUCACCCAACGAAAAAUAUACCUACUAGUUUGUUGUCACUUAUUAGAGCGCCUGUUCUGUACACACCUCUCUCAGGAAUGAGUCCUGCUCUGUGGCUGGGUGGAAAGGUUCUUGAGGAACGUUCAUGUAACAGUGCUCAUAUUAGGUCAGUUUGUACUUUUGUUCAUAGUCAGUAUCCAAACUCAUUUCAUCGUUGGAGAGUGAUGUUUCCUGAAAUCAGUAACAACAUCUGGACUGAAUUUAAUAGAUUUUUUGUCUCCAAUAAAGUUAAAGAAAUACAUAUUAAAAUCUUACAUAGAUAUUAUCCCCGUAAUGAAUUCAUUAACAGAUUUAGACCUGAUGUGUCCCCUUUAUGUUCCUUCUGCAAAAAAGAGAGUCUUUAUCUCAUUUGUUUUAUGGAUGUGCCUAUUCUACUAACUUCUGGACUCUAUUAUCUUUAUUGAUUUGGGAAUAUCAUAAAGUUUUGGUCACUUUUACUGAAAAUAUGGUCUUAUUCUUAAAUGUUGACUGUAACAAUGAGGAAGUUAAAAAUGUAAUCAAAUUGCUGUGUCUCUUGGGUAAAUUUCACAUCCAUAAGGCUAGAUUUCUCCAGGCCAAGCCAAAUGUAUCUUUGUUUUAUAUGGAGUGCAAAUCUUUUAAUGACGCUAUAGGUAAAAUUAGUAAGAAUAAGAAAGCUUUCAAGACAUCCAAUCUUUUGGAAAGUAUUAUACGUCAUAUCAAUAGGUAAUUUUUUUCCCUUUCUCCUCUGCUUUUUGUGUGAUAUUCAUUAUGUACUCCUUGUGUCUCCCUGUAUGUUUGGAUGAUGUCAUGUUUGUUUGUUAGUGUCUUUAAUGUGAUAAUAAAGUGUUAAAAAAAGAAAAAAAAAAAAAAGAAAGAAAGCGUAUGUCGUCAUUGGUUACGGCGUGGCUCGUCACUGGUCACGAGUUUCUGGGAGGAGCUGUUCAGAGAGGAGAGACGGAUAUGAGCCACGUUUGUAGCAUUGCCUCUGUUUGCCAGUACUGCUAGGUCCGGAUGCCUAAACUUUUUGUCGAACACGGGUGAGAUGCUAAAACAAGCUCUGGAGCUGUUUUGGUCGAACACGGGUUUACUGGUUCAGCUGCUGCAGCCUGGACACAAACACCAGCUCCCACCUUAAAAAGCAAACAGAGGCCUGGACUACGAAGGGAGUUUAAGCCACUCUGAUUUAACUCGGGUUAUCAAGGAACGUCGGGGUUGACAGACGUCGGCUGCCUCGAUCUGCGUUAACUACGGCGACGGUGAAGAUGUCAGUGUCUCCACUUGACGUCCACGAUCAGAGAAUCUUUGAACAAUGAAGGAAUUGUUUAGACCAGGACAGAGGCCUCCAGAAUUCCAACUUGAAGCAUUAAAUCACAGAGAGAAGAGACAGACAUGAAGAUGUUUCCAGAAGGUCUCAGAGACGCCACCAGUGCCGUCAGUUUCACAAGAACAGCUUCUGACGUCGCGUAUCGACGGUUAUCCCGUUACGUCACGGAGUCUAGAGCGCUUGGACAGGCGUUCACAGAACCUGUAAACCAAAGCUGGGGCUCUCGCACUUUGUCUGCCUCAGGUAAGAUUACAACUGGCAGUCCCUUUUCUUUUAGUGUUUGCAUUUGUUUGUACAGCGUCAAAAUGUACUGCCAAAGGUGAUCUUUAAGCGUCCAAGCUCAGCAGUAGUUGUCUUAUAUAGUAGUAUCAUGUCCAACAGACAGAAUCACUUCUGUCUCUAACUGACACUCCACCCACUGAAAUCAACCCGACUCUACUGAUCUCAAAGGACAAAACUUUUGACACUUUACUGUGACAUUGAGUAUUUUUAACUGUUUUCCAUGCCUUAGUAUUUUAUGACAUUUGUUUUUGAGUGUUUUCCAAGCCUUAUUAUACUAUGACAUUAUUUAAGUGUUGUUGGGUGUUUUUCCACUGUUUGUUAUGCCUUACUGUACUAUGAUGUUUUUUGACUGUUUUUCAUGCAUUAUUGUGUACUAUUACAGUAUUUGAGUGUUUAUUACUGUUUUUCAUGCCUUACUGUGCUUUUACAAUAUUUGAGUGUUUGUGACUGUUUUUCCAUUGUUUUUUUUGCGUGGCAUUAUCCAACUUGCCUGUCUUUUAUGUCAUUAUGCAGCCCGUGCCCUUAUUUUAAGAAUUUGAAUAAAUUUAACAAAAUAAAA